GUAAGUUAAGAAACUGUUUCUUAACUUUUAACUAAAAAAGCUAGAAACUGGUUCUUAAAUAAGGAUUUUAAGAACCAGUUCUUAGCUUUUUUAGUUAAAAAUUAAGAAACCGUUUCUUAACUUCC
rfam:Brassica oleracea var. oleracea cultivar TO1000 chromosome C4, whole genome shotgun sequence